AAAUUAAAAAAAUAAAAAAUAAAAAAGCCCUGAGGACACGAUCUUUUCCCGCUUCUCAUCUAUUUACCCAAAUGGAAAUUGGGCCACCAAUUUAAAGUCAAGCUUUUCCCUAUAAACAUCUAUAGUGAAAUUUAUAAAAAAUAUACCAAAAAAAAAAAAAAACCUAGACAGACUAUACAUUAGCAUCCUUCCACGCAGCUUCCAAACCUUCGUCGUUUUCACACGCAUGUCCAAAAAUUCACACAAUGAGACUUUCAACUAACUGGUCUUGGUUACUAGCAAA
rnacentral:misc_RNA from 1 species